rnacentral:lncRNA from 10 species
AACAAUAGCAGCAUUAACAGUCAUUGGACUCCCACCGAGUGUGUUAUUCUUUAAAUUAGAACCCAUGAAUAUAAUGAGAUGGAUUUUCACAGGAACAAGGGCAGGCUGAAACAAAGAGGUAUUGCUUUUUAUUCUUAUUUCCCUUGAUUUUUGCAUGAUUUAAACAUUUUGAACCUUAACUGUUCUUUUCAUUUUACUUUUGAGUUGGGGAGGGUGAUAUCAUGUUAAUGUUAGAAAGAAAAAGGACCAUCUUUUUAGAAUGCAAAUAGAGGCAGAAACUCUAUUUAUGAAAAUUUAAAGAACUGUAUGAAACAACUCCAAAACAUAGCAUCCUCAAUCAGCAUCAGAAUGACGCUUUUCUUUCUUGUGUGCUUGAUUUUUAAAAUUAUCUUAAUAGACACUGUGAAGGUCCCUUGUGUUACUCAGGGGCAGGCUUGACUCAUGGAUAGAAGCACUGAAGUUGUGUUUGUGACUUGUGGCUCUGCCUUAGGCUGAUCAUAAAGUAGAAGUUGCGUCCAUAGGAGGCUUCUUACCCACCCAGUGAAAAUUUAGUCCAUUUCUCUUUAGGAGAGAGCCUGUUCUGGUCUUCUUUUCCUGGACGGUGGAUACAUUUUUCACACUUUAUGAGUUUGCCUUUCCAGAGCCUUAUAGGGGAUCAGGUUGUUGCACCGCUCUGAUAUUCAUGCCACUGAAAACUUAAAUCAAGCUUUAUUUACUGUUCUAAUUGAAUAGCCCCCUGGACAGCCAGUCCGUGGUGACUUCACCCUUUUCUGAAGUUCAAUCAUUUGGCACAUUUCAGAAGAAUAAAGACUUUAAUCAUCCAAAACAAAUUGAAGCCAAGAGACCAGGGUCUGAGUUCUGGUCUCUUGGUCUAAGGAGUAGUUGACCUUGGUUUGGAAGUUACUUGGCUCCAAACAGAGUGACUCAGUCUCCUUCUGUCAAAUCAGGAGGUUGUACUAGAAGAUACCUAACAUUUUUUCUAGCUCCUUGAGAAGGUAAUUUUAAUCAGAACCUCUUUUCCUCUCUUAGCUCAUUUCCACAAUCCAUUAUUUUCUUCUCAAAGAUAUUCAUUUCUUAAUUAAAGAUAGGUAUUUUUAAUGAGUCCUGCAGUCUCUGGGCUAGUUCUUGAUUUCUCCUCUUCAUUUCUGUGCUUCCUAUAAAUCCUGUAGCCAUGAUCUACUGCCAGAUAUCCGAUGUGUAGGUGGUGAUGUGUGUUCUUGUUUUAUUAAAGUAGAACUCUUGUUUUUCUUCCAACGUACAGAUCGUUUCCCGCUUGAUGCUCAUAGCGGGAAGAAACGUAAUGUUUUACAAUGAAAAACAAAACUUGCAUUCAUGGUUUGUGUCAUUUGCUCCUCCUUCUCUACCUGGCCUACACCAGCUCUCGCCCACAUGAACUUCCCUCUUCUGAAGAGUUAUCAUGGCCCCAAGUGACUGAGCAAUAAUGAGUGAAGCAUUCUUACCAGCAAGGUGGUUGAGGGAAUUACACGGAAAGUUACAUGGCAUUCUUGUUCAAUGAACUCACUUUCAGUUGUUUCUUUAAAUAGGUAGAAUAUUUCCCUGCCAGAGGUGUAACUGCCCAGUGGGUUCACUUUGCCUACUGCCU